rnacentral:rRNA from 1 species
ACGGGUGAGUAACACGUAGGUAACCUGCCUAUAAGAUCGGGAUAACUAUCGGAAACGAUAGCUAAGACCGGAUAAUUGGUUUUCUCGCAUGAGAGAAUUAUGAAACACGGAGCAAUCUGUGGCCUAUAGAUGGGCCUGCGGCGCAUUAGCUAGUUGGUAGGGUAAUGGCCUACCAAGGCGACGAUGCGUAGCCGACCUGAGAGGGUGACCGGCCACACUGGGACUGAGACACGGCCCAGACUCCUACGGGAGGCAGCAGUAGGGAAUCUUCCGCAAUGGACGCAAGUCUGACGGAGCAACGCCGCGUGAGUGAUGAAGGUUUUCGGAUCGUAAAGCUCUGUUGCCCUAGACGAACAGCAAGGAGAGUAACUGCUCUUUGUGUGACGGUAUAGGAGAAGAAAGCCCCGGCUAACUACGUGCCAGCAGCCGCGGUAAUACGUAGGGGGCAAGCGUUGUCCGGAAUUAUUGGGCGUAAAGCGCGCGCAGGCGGUCAAUUAAGUUGGGUGUUUAAGCCCGGGGCUCAACCCCGGUUCGCAUCCAAAACUGGUUGACUUGAGUGUAGGAGAGGAAAGUGGAAUUCCACGUGUAGCGG